rnacentral:pre_miRNA from 1 species
ACCGCUGAGCCACCUUCCCAGCCCUACAUUUAUAUUUUAUAAAUAGACAUGUAUGUGUGGGGCUGGGAAGGUGGCUCAGUGGU